CUCUCUCAUUUGGAGCCAGCUCCCAGUUUGAAUUCAAGAUGCAGAUGUCUUCUCUACUUUUAAAAUUAGACCCAACACUUUUUGAAGGCACUUUGUGAUAAAUGUUAUAUUUAAGGCUGGAUCACAUGAUCCUGAACCAUCCCUUUAUUAUGCUAAUAUAGGCCCAGAAUGCUCCAUCACAAUGUGAUACUCUUACUUGUUGGCAUCUUAAGCAGGACAAUCAGAGGAAGAACUGACAGUUAGGCAAGGAUCCCAGGGAGCAGAGGGAGAUUUGGCAAAGAGUGAGCAGGCAGCUUUCAGGAAAGAUGGCAAAAGACGAGAUGUAAACAACCCGGAUGGAAGCAGAUUUUCUUCAGCGGGCUUCAUCUUGCAAGGAACAGUUCCAGGAAUCCACAGAUAAGGAAGACAACAUCCCAAAAUGAACAAUGGGAAAGCCACUUUUUCACUGGAGAAAUGACAACUUCAACAGGGGUGAAGAAACAAGUGGUUGCAUGUGCAGUAGUGGUCUACUGUACACAAAGCAGUCCAGUUGCUCAAGAUUACAUCUUUACUUCAGAAGGAAGACCAAAAACUCUAUGGGGCUUUAAACGUGGGUUAAAGUUCAAAUCAUGAUGCAGUUCCUCUCAAAUUUUAACAUUGAAGGGGAUACAAAAACAUGACAAACCGAUCAGAUCAGAUGAAUAUUUUUAUAAGGAAAUCCCAUUAAAAGGCCAAAUUAUUCAUGCUUUGUUUUGCUGACGGUUGCUAAUUUUUCCUCAGACCUCCAACAUUUUAAUGGAGACAUGAGAGUAAGUCGGUUUUCCGUUAUAUAAGAUCUUACAGAGUAUGUAAAGUGCUUGAGUGCUGUAAAGAGCACUAUAGAAGCCAAGUAAAAUGUAUUACUCUUGCAGUUCUUUUCCUUUAUGCUGUGGAUUUGAUUCAAGCCUCGAUUAAGUUGAUCUGAAGAUGUUUCUACUAAGCACCUCCCCGCCAUUACCAGCUUUUAUGAUGAGCAUUGAUUCUGAGGCAUGGUGCUUCCUCUCUGCUUACUGUAACAGUUUCAAAGGAUGGUUAACGGCUUACAGUAUCUGCACUCCACCAAUACCGCACUCUGCUGCCCAUAAUUACCAAUCUUUCAAGUAAGCAGAUCUGCACUGUGCCUCAUAAUCAGUUCUGCACUGUAAAGAUCCACGAUAAUAUAAACUUGUGGCCGGCGAUGCGACGGAGAAAUUGCACAGGAGCCGGGGUAUUGAUUUCAUUCAUCUCCGCUGGUGCUGGGACUUGUAAACAGGUGUCUGCUGAUUCUGUUAUGGAGUUGUAGCACGCUUUGCAGGUAAUGCAGUGGAAGAAUAACGCGAGGAGACACAUCAAGGUCACCUUCCCUUUCAGCAGUUACCACAGAGGUGCAUCUUAACUGCCUCGCUGUCCCCGCGGCCAGCUGUGCAGCGCUGGUUGCAGUGGCCAGGUGUGAAUGAAUGUGAAGUGGCUGUGUGAGUGUGAACCAGACCGUGGCUGAUAGAAAACAUGUGCACCUUGAAAAACUUUCCCUGGCGAGUAGCAUGGUAAAGGAGCAUUUUAAACAUCAAUAUAUCACUGUCAGGGUAAUUACAAACACUUGGUGUAAUUACCAUUAGCAAAUGAGACCACAGAGGAGACAACUGUCUGCAACUCACACCUGCAGAGGUGUUGAUGAUGCUGGUCUUUUUAAAAAAGCUGCAGAGAGUUCACAACUGAUAUUUAGAUAUAAUUGCAGCUAAUUUUCAUAAUCAAUUCAUGUAUCUAUUUUUUUCAUUUACUGGUAUUUGAAAAAGGGGGCUGAAAAAAGGGCCAUAACAAUUUCCCAGAGUAAUCAAUUUCUAUUUUUUGUCCAAAACCCAGCCCUGUUUAAUUCCUGAGAAAUAAAAGCAGGAAACUCUGAAACCGCAGUAGCUAGAAGUAGCAAAUGUCAUGCACCUGGUAAGUGUGCAGUUGAUCAAAAGAAAGCAAAUCAUCUAAUUGUCUCAGAGCUGGUUCUUGAGAAGCAGACAAGCAGAAUAAAUGUGUUUUUGCUCAUAUCGGGAAGAAUAUAUGACGUUUAUGAUCCUUUCACUUUAAAAACAAACGUGACUCUCUGUGAGAACAUGAAUGCUCAUCAGUCUGCCAGUCUUGUCCAUUUAAUUACAUCUGAAUGUUUAUUAAACUUGCAUGUCAACUGAAAUUAAUGAUGUCAUGUUACUAGCCUGAAAUAUUUAUGCACUUUAUCUUUAAUCAUUAUUUAAUUGAUCUUCUCUAUUAGUUGUAAUUUAUGCACAUAUGCUCCAUCGUGCUGCUAUUUAUCUUGUUAUCUUGUUGUGAUGCUCGCUGCAGAUAUCCAGAGAUGUCCUUUUAGUAUUCUUCUCUCUGCCCUCGGUGUUUCCUCAUAUUCAUAUAAAUAAGUUCUACACUGCAGCAGUUGAGAACAAUAGCAGACCGCAGGCACACAAUCAUGUACAGUAGUAUA